UGGGGAAUAUUGCACAAUGGGCGAAAGCCUGAUGCAGCAACGCCGCGUGCGGGAAGAAGGCCCUAGGGUUGUAAACCGCUUUCAGCAGGGAAGAAAAUGACGGUACCUGCAGAAGAAGGUGCGGCCAACUACGUGCCAGCAGCCGCGGUGACACGUAGGCACCAAGCGUUGUCCGGAUUUAUUGGGCGUAAAGAGCUCGUAGGCGGUUCAGUAAGUCGGGUGUGAAAACUCUGGGCUCAACCCAGAGAGGCCACCCGAUACUGCUGUGACUUGAGUACGGUAGGGGAGCGGGGAAUUCCUGGUGUAGCGGUGAAAUGCGCAGAUAUCAGGAGGAACACCAGUGGCGAAGGCGCCGCUCUGGGCCGUAACUGACGCUGAGGAGCGAAAGCGUGGGUAGCAAACAGG
rnacentral:rRNA from 1 species